rnacentral:rRNA from 1 species
AACGAACGCUGGUGGCAUGCCUAACACAUGCAAGUCGAACGAGACCUUCGGGUCUAGUGGCGCACGGGUGCGUAACGCGUGGGAAUCUACCCUCAGGUUCGGAAUAACUCAGAGAAAUUUGAGCUAAUACCGGAUGAUGACGUAAGUCCAAAGAUUUAUCGCCUGAGGAUGAGCCCGCGUAGGAUUAGGUAGUUGGUGAGGUAAAGGCUCACCAAGCCGACGAUCCUUAGCUGGUCUGAGAGGAUGAUCAGCCACACUGGGACUGAGACACGGCCCAGACUCCUACGGGAGGCAGCAGUGGGGAAUAUUGGACAAUGGGCGAAAGCCUGAUCCAGCAAUGCCGCGUGAGUGAUGAAGGCCUUAGGGUUGUAAAGCUCUUUUACCCGGGAUGAUAAUGACAGUACCGGGAGAAUAAGCUCCGGCUAACUCCGUG